GCCGCGUCUGGAGGAUGUGUCACGUUGCUCUUCCACCUGGGGUGUUGUGAUGAAACUGGCCUCAGUGAUUCCAGAAGAGAUUAGAGGUUUUUUCAGCAUCCAAGGUUUGGUAGAAAAUGAUUAAUCCGCUACAAAAUAAUUAUUUUAUAUACAGCGUCCAGCGCACAGAGCAGGUGGAAUUAAUAGAAUGGG